AACGAACGCUGGCGGCAUGCCUAACACAUGCAAGUCGAACGAGACUUUCGGGUCUAGUGGCGCACGGGUGCGUAACGCGUGGGAACCUGCCCUUAGGUUCGGAAUAACUCCCCGAAAGGGGUGCUAAUACCGGAUAAUGUCUUCGGACCAAAGAUUUAUCGCCUUUGGAUGGGCCCGCGUUGGAUUAGCUAGUUGGUAGGGUAAAAGCCUACCAAGGCGACGAUCCAUAGCUGGUCUGAGAGGAUGAUCAGCCACACUGGGACUGAGACACGGCCCAGACUCCUACGGGAGGCAGCAGUGGGGAAUAUUGGACAAUGGGCGAAAGCCUGAUCCAGCAAUGCCGCGUGAGUGAUGAAGGCCUUAGGGUUGUAAAGCUCUUUUACCCGGGAUGAUAAUGACAGUACCGGGAGAAUAAGCGCCGGCUAACUCCGUG
rnacentral:rRNA from 1 species